AACGAACGCUGGCGGCAUGCCUAACACAUGCAAGUCGAACGCGUGUAGCAAUACACGAGUGGCGAACGGGUGAGUAACGCGUGGGAACCUGCCUAGUGGUAGGGAAUAACUGCGGGAAACUGCAGCUAAUACCCUAUGAGCCCUACGGGGGAAAGAUUUAUCGCCAUUAGAGGGGCCCGCGUCGGAUUAGCUAGUUGGUGAGGUAAUGGCUCACCAAGGCGACGAUCCAUAGCUGGUCGGGGAGGAUGAUCAGCCACACUGGGACUGGGACACGGCCCAGACUCCUACGGGAGGCAGCAGGGGGGAAUAUUGGACAAUGGGCGCAAGCCUGAUCCAGCCAUGCCGCGUGAGUGAUGAAGGCCUUAGGGUUGUAAAGCUCUUUCAGUGGGGACGAUAAUGACGGUACCCACAGAAGAAGCCCCGGCUAACUUCGUGCCAGCCGCCGCAGUAAUAC
rnacentral:rRNA from 1 species